rnacentral:rRNA from 1 species
UACGGAGGGGGCAAGCGUUGUUCGGAAUUACUGGGCGUAAAGCGCGCGUAGGCGGUUUUUCAAGUUAGGCGUGAAAGCCCUGGGCUCAACCCGGGAAUUGCGCUUAAUACUGAAUGACUUGAGGCCGGGAGAGGGUAGUGGAAUUCCCAGUGUAGAGGUGAAAUUCGUAGAUAUUGGGAAGAACACCAGUGGCGAAGGCGGCUACCUGGACCGGUACUGACGCUGAUGCGCGAAAGCGUGGGGAGUAAACAGG